CCUGUGCUUAACAACAAUAGGAUAAUUUCUAUAGUGUCACUUUUUUGGGACACCCUGUAAUAUCCCACUCAUUGCGAGGACAAAUAACAGCGAAAAUUUGAAUAAUGAAAUAGAAUUAUGUGCAAUCAUCCAUGCCAAAGUUUAUCAGAAACAUUUCGCAGCCAAAAUUUCGACGGCGUAGAGUUUCACUAUCGUUGAGUGAUAUGCAGCCAGUUUUGCAAAAUCAUAAUGAUUUUCUACAUAUAAAUAAAACUUUGGCUCGCAUUUUGCCAACAAUCACGUUACGUUGAGUUAAGUUCAACGGUUUUUGAAACCGAAAAAUUCAUUCAUUGUGGGCCGUGGCAAAUAUGAAACAAGGAAAUUGAACCCGCAGAAUAUUAUACAUCCUCUCUGCUUCUCGAUUUUGAACAGCACAUGACAGUACAGCUGGUACUGGAUAUUGUAAAAGUAUUAAACUUUACAGGAAUACUACUUAUAGCAGGUAUCAUAUAUGUAACAGUCUAUGUAAUAUUUGUUGUGGUGGUAUUAUUCGUAUGAAUGCAUAUUACCUAUUAUUAAAUUUCACAGCAACCGUGUAAUAAUAUCAGAUAAGUCUCGUGGUUUGUCGGUAAGUAAAUUAAUGUUGAAUUCCUCAGUAAAAUACAUUCACGAAUCACAACUAAUUCAGUUUCAAUACUCCAGUCUGAUACUUGUACCUUCAUUGCUUCAAAACGCACACUUGUCACUAGACUCACUACACUUCUCAAAGGGGCUCAAAACAGUGCUCGUGAAUGGAAUUUUAAGGAUUAAAUUCAUUUCAUUAACAUAUGAAGCAUAUUACAUGGAAUUUCCUGUAUCUUAUAAGCAAUAUCCACGCAGAAUACUGAACCUCCCCAUCCAGCCCUGCAGUCAAGCAGAAAAUAUUUUGUAAUUCAACCAAAAUUUGAUGGAUUUGUCCUUGGCAUAUGACAUUGAUUCCACAAAUUUUCGUAUUAAAUGUUAAUGAUAAUUUAUCUUAUUUCUGACAUACAAACACAAAUAAAAAAGCGCACAACGUCACAAAAACCUAGGAAUGCCUUCCUGGCGAUCUCGAGUUAAACUGAAAAGUUCACAGGAGGCAGGAAGUGGG